UGGAUUGUGGCUCAGUGGUAGAGCAUGCUCACCUAGCACGUGAGAGGCCCUGGGUUCAAUCCUCAGUACCACAU
rnacentral:tRNA from 1 species